GACGAACGCUGGCGGCGUGCUUAACACAUGCAAGUCGAACGGAAAGGCCCUGCUUUUGUGGGGUGCUCGGGUGGCGAACGGGUGAGUAACACGUGAGUAACCUGCCCUUGACUUUGGGGUAACUUCAGGAAACUGGGGCUAAUACCGGAUAGGAGCUCCUGCUGCAUGGUGGGGGGUGGAAAGGUUCGGCGGUUGGGGAUGGACUCGCGGCUUAUCAGCUUGUUGGUGGGGUAGUGGCUUACCAAGGCUUUGACGGGUAGCCGGCCUGAGAGGGUGACCGGCCACAUUGGGACUGAGAUACGGCCCAGACUCCUACGGGAGGCAGCAGUGGGGAAUAUUGCACAAUGGGCGGAAGCCUGAUGCAGCAACGCCGCGUGCGGGAUGACGGCCUUCGGGUUGUAAACCGCUUUCGCCUGUGACGAAGCGUGAGUGACGGUAAUGGGUAAAGAAGCACCGGCUAACUACGUG
rnacentral:rRNA from 1 species